UUGUAAAUACUACACAGCAUCCUGAGUUUCUGUUAAUCAACAUGAGGAUGAUUCAAACAGCCAGCUGUCCCAGCACUGAGGAGGAAACACCAUGAUAUGUUGAGGACAGCUACAGUUCACUGACUCUGUGUGUUUGCAUAUCUGUCCUGCCUCUCUGCUCCCAGCCGUUAAGAGGCCAGUGCUGAUCAGUGGCUGUCCAGGCCUUUCAGAGCCACUGACACGCCGGCAGCACAAUGAUGAUGUCACUGAUUCCACUGCUGGCCACCCUGGGGCUCCUUGUUCAGGGUUCAUCAGGACAAAUCGUCCUGACUCAGUCUCCUGGAUCUCAGUCUGUUGUUCCAGGAAAGACUGUCUCUCUCAGAUGUAAAACCAGUUCAAGUGUUUAUAGUAAUGGUUACAGCUGGCUUCACUGGUACCUUCAGAAACCUGGAGAAGCUCCUAAACUCCUGAUUUAUACAGCUUCAACCCGUCACUCUGGAGUUCCAGGUCAUUUUAGUGGAAGUGGAUCUGGGACUGACUUCACUCUGACCAUCAGUGGAGUUCAGGCUGAAGAUUCAGGAGUUUACUACUGUCAGCAGGGUGACAGCUACCCGUUCACACAGCGAUACAACGUCGUACAAAAACCUCCCUCAGCUGGAGAGGAACUGAUCUGACUCAACAGCUGCACUGAAACUAAAACAUUAGAAGCUUCUCUGAAAGAAAACUCAUGAUUGUCUUAAAAAGUUAUAUUUUUAUUGUGGAAAUAUUUUUCAUAGAAUUCAGCAGAGUAUUUUAUUAUUACUGACUAACAGUGUUUGAGACAUUAUCACACUGUUACAGUUUACUCAAACACUGUUUUACAGCAAAGUUUCAAUCAG